GGACAACUUAUCCUUAAUAAAAAGACUGACUUCUUCGGGAAACAAGAAAAACUUUGCUCUUUGCUUACUAAUCAAAAUGCUAAGCAGUAGAUUGUGCUGUAAUUCAGAUUUUUCCUCUUUCUACAUCUAGAUCUUGAAGGUAAGACCCAAUUACUAAAAAC